GUGCGGUGACACUUGAACAAAUGAACUGAUCAUGCGCGACACUGACCAAUAAACAAACGAGUUGUUUUAUUGCGUCUAUGACUUGAAUCUUAUCAUCAGUUGUAGUGAUGGGAAGUUCGGAUCAUUUUACCGAAUCGGACUUUUGAGUCUCGUUCAGCAAAAUGAACGAAUCUUUUUUCGAGUCAUUUCAAAUGAACGAACAACCAGAAGGUUCAGGAAGAAAAAAACAAAGUGCUUGCAGUCUGUUUCACAUUAGGAGGCAUUUUGCUGCAUAAUCGAUCCACCACAAACCAUAUACAACUAUGGAAGCUCAACUUCCAUUAAAUGGACUGAAAACGCUCAAGAGACACUUUGACAAGUGGGCACUGGAUGCUGAGUAUUGAAGGCGAGGUGGUGUGUGAGGGCACUCAGCCCAGUUUCCUGUCCGGCCUUGCCACUCUGUUUGCUGCUUAUUACUAGUUUAAUCUUGAGUAUCAGGAGGAAGCAGUGUGUACCUUGGAGUUCAUUCAAAGGUGCUUUGUGGGCAUAAAUCCAGAGAGAGGACCCAAAGCCAAGGGAAAAGUGCCAUCGAAAUAAAAACAGGACAAGUGAUACAGAAGAAAAUGUGUGGCAGUCAACCCACAUGUUGCCACUCUUCUGUGCAAAUUCCAAUGGAAUUUCUGAAAUUCACACUUUGAAUCCUGGGAUGGAACUUCAUCUGGAGCAUAAUUGUUAUUUGGUUGAUUUUUAUCUGUUUGAUGGAAAGUUUGUAUGACUUCUGCAAGUGCGCGGCUCCUUCCGGUCAGUCAUGCAGCACUUUUUUUUGUAUGACUUGUUUGGCAAUAUUGGUCUAUUCUUUAAUGAUGAAAGCUAUCUGAAAAUGUCUUUGUGGUUUUUAAAGGAUUAGUUCACCCAAAAAUG